UAAGGAAUAUUGGUCAAUGGACGAAAGUCUGAACCAGCCAUGCCGCGUGGAGGAUGAAGGUCCUCUGGAUUGUAAACUUCUUUUAUAUGGGACGAAAAAAGGGCUUUCUAGCUCGUCUGACGGUACCAUAUGAAUAAGCACCGGCUAACUCCGUGCCAGCAGCCGCGGUAAUACGGAGGGUGCAAGCGUUAUCCGGAUUCACUGGGUUUAAAGGGUGCGUAGGUGGGUUGGUAAGUCAGUGGUGAAAUCCCCGAGCUUAACUUGGGAACUGCCAUUGAUACUAUCAGUCUUGAAUACCGUGGAGGUCAGCGGAAUAUGUCAUGUAGCGGUGAAAUGCUUAGAUAUGACAUAGAACACCAAUUGCGAAGGCAGCUGGCUACUCGGAUAUUGACACUGAGGCACGAAAGCGUGGGGAUCAAACAGGAUUAGAUACCCUGGUAGUCCACGCCCUAAACUAUGGAUACUCGACAUUUGCGAUACACAGUAAGUGUCUGAGCGAAAGCAUUAAGU
rnacentral:rRNA from 1 species